rnacentral:rRNA from 1 species
UACGUAGGGAGCAAGCGUUGUCCGGAAUCAUUGGGCGUAAAGCGCGCGUAGGCGGUCAGGUAAGUCCGGUGUGAAAGUCAAAGGCUCAACCUUUGAAUGCCGCUGGAAAACUGCCUGACUUGAGUCCGGUAGGGGCGAGGUGGAAUUCCUGGUAGUAGCGGGUGAAAUGCGCAGAUAUCAGGAGGAACACCAAUGGCGAAGGCAGCUCGCUGGAA